GUGGAAACUAAUCAAGGAGAAAAGCAACCUGGAAUUAAGAAAAAACUUUCCAGCAGUAAGGACAAUUAACCAUGGUAGCACAGUGCUUAGAAUUCAGUACUGCAGGCUAUUUCUUCUGACUGCCAGUUGCCAGCAGUUCAGCAGUUCGAUUCCCACUGGCUCAAGAUCAGCCUUCCGUCUUUCUGAGGCAAACCAAUAAAAUACGCCAUCUUCUCCAGAACAUACCGCCCGCGUCCUUCCUUCGGUACCUGAGCGCGCAGCACUGCAACUCGCAGCUUUCCCACUUUUGCUUCUACCGGACGUGACUACAAGGAUCGGCUGCCUACCGUGCAUCUUCGGGAUUGCCUAGACUUGCAUACGUGAGACCGGUAAACCCGGCAGUGCAGAGAAGUUGCUUUCGAAGAAGUCGCGUCCUUCUCGCGCUGGCCCACAGAGCCCCCUCGCGAGCUCCUCCGGUACUGCUCGAAGGGACCGCUGAGGUCAGGGGAUGGCUAUCUGCAGCGAUUGGUGUUUUUAUAGCUGGUGUCUUUUCUGGAUAAAGCCUGGCGGGGGUCCUUACCGUGGCGGACGUCGCGACUAUUUAGGUGCAGUUUGAGUAAUAUUCUCUCCAUGCUUUGUCAGGAAAGUGGUUCAACUCAUCUCGAGAACAGAAAGAGCUAAGCCUCUAGCCAGCGGACAGAACGAGCGAAUUGGCGAGAAAAGCAGGGAUUUAAUGGACUGGGGACACUAUCUUGGAGAUCUGACUCAACAUUUCCAUCCAGAUUGUGAUCUUUAGACAUGUUGCAAAUUAAUCAGAAUGCAGUAACAUCUUGAAUACAUGAACUUGUUUUACAUAAAAGGUAAAGGUAAAGGUUCCCCUCGCACAUAUGUGCUAGUCGUUGCCAACUCUAGGGGGUGGUGCUCAUCUCCGUUUCAAAGCCGAAGAGCCAGCACUGUCCGAAGACAUCUCCGUGGUCAUGUGGCCGGCAUGACUCAACGCCAAAGACGCAUGGAACGCUGUUACCUUCCCACCAAAAGUUUGUUUUAUAUACAAACUAGUUAAUGCAUUUAUAUUGAUUUACUAUUUGAUAAAGAUAUGAUUAUAGCCUAAAUCAAGAAUGUUAAAAUUCUUCUAAACAACAUUUUAAUAUUGUAUCACAAAUGAUUCAAUAAACUUGCACUGCUGUUUAAUGUGGAUUCUAAGAGAAUAUGUUUUUAAAAAUUCCCUUUCAUGACAAAUAAU